rnacentral:rRNA from 1 species
GACGAACGCUGGCGGCGUGCUUAACACAUGCAAGUCACGGGGGUCCGCAAGGACAACCGGCGAACGGGUGCGUAACACGUGAACAACCUGCCCUCGUGUGGGGGAUAGCCGGGCUAACGCCCGGGUAAUACCGCAUACGUUUCUUUGGGGGAGUCCCUGAGGAAGGAAAGCUCCGGCGCACGGGGAGGGUUCGCGGCCUAUCAGCUAGUUGGCGAGGUAAUGGCUCACCAAGGCAGAGACGGGUAGCUGGUCGAGAGGAUGAUCAGCCACACU